rnacentral:lncRNA from 1 species
UUUGUGGAUACCCAAUGACACAAAAACUAGGUUCUAAUACCAACUUUAUCACGACUCAAACCAGGGCUUGGACGUGAUGGGUAUCUUAAGUCCAAUGAGGACCGUAGACCACCUCCUACACCUAACUAAACAAAACAUAAUACCCUCAAAAUUUGAAGAAUUUUUAAUAUAUAAUAACAACAACAACAACAACAAAACCAGUAUAUUCUCAUAUACUGAGGUCU